rnacentral:rRNA from 1 species
GACGAACGCUGGCGGCGUGCUUAACACAUGCAAGUCGAACGGAAAGGCCCUGCUUUUGUGGGGUGCUCGAGUGGCGAACGGGUGAGUAACACGUGUGUAACCUGCCCUUGUCUUUGGGAUAACUUCAGGAAACUGGGGCUAAUACCGGAUAGGAGCUCCUGCUGCAUGGUGGGGGUUGGAAAGUUUCGGCGGUUGGGGAUGGAUUCGCGGCUUAUGAGCUUGUUGGUGGGGUAGUGGCUUACCAAGGCUUUGACGGGUAGCCGGCCUGAGAGGGUGACCGGGCACAUUGGGACUGAGAUACGGACCAGACUCCUACGGGAGGCAGCAGUGGGGAAUAUGGCACAAUGGGCGGAAGCGUGAGGCAGCAACGCCGCGUGCGGGAUGACGUGUUUCGGGUUGUAAACCGAUUUCGCCGGUGACGAAGCGUGAGUGACGGUAAUGGGUAAAGAAGCCCCGGCUAACUACGUG